rnacentral:rRNA from 1 species
UACAGAGGUCUCAAGCGUUGUUCGGAUUCAUUGGGCGUAAAGGGUGCGUAGGCGGCGCGGUAAGUCGGGUGUGAAAUCUUGGAGCUUAACUCCGAAACUGCAUUCGAUACUGCCGUGCUUGAGGACUGGAGAGGAGACUGGAAUUUACGGUGUAGCGGUGAAAUGCGUAGAUAUCGUAAGGGAAGACCAGUGGCGAAGGCGGGGUCUCUGGACAGUUCCUGACGCUGAGGCACGAAGGCCAGGGGGAGCAAACGGG